rnacentral:rRNA from 2 species
GACGAACGCUGGCGGCGUGCCUAAUACGUGCAAGUAGAACGCUGAAGAGAGGAGCUUGCUCUUCUUGGAUGAGUUGCGAACGGGUGAGUAACGCGUAGGUAACCUGCCUUGUAGCGGGGGAUAACUAUUGGAAACGAUAGCUAAUACCGCAUAACAAUGGAUGACACAUGUCAUUUAUUUGAAAGGGGCAAUUGCUCCACUACAAGAUGGACCUGCGUUGUAUUAGCUAGUAGGUGAGGUAAUGGCUCACCUAGGCGACGAUACAUAGCCGACCUGAGAGGGUGAUCGGCCACACUGGGACUGAGACACGGCCCAGACUCCUACGGGAGGCAGCAGUAGGGAAUCUUCGGCAAUGGGGGCAACCCUGACCGAGCAACGCCGCGUGAGUGAAGAAGGUUUUCGGAUCGUAAAGCUCUGUUGUAAGUCAAGAACGGGUGUGAGAGUGGAAAGUUCACACUGUGACGGUAGCUUACCAGAAAGGGACGGCUAACUACGUGCCAGCAGCCGCGGUAAUACGUAGGUCCCGAGCGUUGUCCGGAUUUAUUGGGCGUAAAGCGAGCGCAGGCGGUUUGAUAAGUCUGAAGUUAAAGGCUGUGGCUCAACCAUAGUUCGCUUUGGAAACUGUCAAACUUGAGUGCAGAAGGGGAGAGUGGAAUUCCAUGUGUAGCGGUGAAAUGCGUAGAUAUAUGGAGGAACACCGGUGGCGAAAGCGGCUCUCUGGUCUGUAACUGACGCUGAGGCUCGAAAGCGUGGGGAGCGAACAGGAUUAGAUACCCUGGUAGUCCACGCCGUAAACGAUGAGUGCUAGGUGUUGGAUCCUUUCCGGGAUUCAGUGCCGCAGCUAACGCAUUAAGCACUCCGCCUGGGGAGUACGACCGCAAGGUUGAAACUCAAAGGAAUUGACAGGGGCCCGCACAAGCGGUGGAGCAUGUGGUUUAAUUCGAAGCAACGCGGAGAACCUUACCAGGUCUUGACAUCCCGAUGCUAUUUCUAGAGAUAGAAAGUUACUUCGGUACAUCGGUGACAGGUGGUGCAUGGUUGUCGUCAGCUCGUGUCGUGAGAUGUUGGGUUAAGUCCCGCAACGAGCGCAACCCCUAUUGUUAGUUGCCAUCAUUCAGUUGGGCACUCUAGCGAGACUGCCGGUAAUAAACCGGAGGAAGGUGGGGAUGACGUCAAAUCAUCAUGCCCCUUAUGACCUGGGCUACACACGUGCUACAAUGGUUGGUACAACGAGUUGCGAGUCGGUGACGGCGAGCUAAUCUCUUAAAGCCAAUCUCAGUUCGGAUUGUAGGCUGCAACUCGCCUACAUGAAGUCGGAAUCGCUAGUAAUCGCGGAUCAGCACGCCGCGGUGAAUACGUUCCCGGGCCUUGUACACACCGCCCGUCACACCACGAGAGUUUGUAACACCCGAAGUCGGUGAGGUAACCUUUUGGAGCCAGCCGCCUAAGGUGGGACAGAUGAUUGGGGUGA